CUUCUAUAUAAAGAUAGCAAACGGGUGAGUAUGGCGUAGAAACUAACCUAGAAAUUUAGUUAAAAACUUCAAAAUUUAUUUGUUUUUAGAAAGGUCUACGUACAAUUAAGUAGUUGGUUAGAUUAAAUCCUUACCAAGCUUAUGAUUUUUAGUUGGUCUAUGAGGAUGAACAGCCACAUUGGAAUUGAGAUAUGGUCCAAACUCUAUAUUAAGAGGCAGCAGUGGGGAAUAUUGGGCAAUGAAUAAUAGUUUGACCCAGCUAAGUCAUGUGUAUGAUGAAGAUGUUUGAUUGUAAAGUACUUUUGUGAGUUAUAAUAAUGAUUGAUUUUUGAAUAAACCCUGGCUAAUUUCGUGCCAGCAGCCGCGGUAAAACGAGAAGGGUUAGUGUUAUUCAGAUUAACUGGGCGUAAAGUAUAUGUAGGCGGAAAAUUAACUAGUGAUCUAAAUCUUAAAUUUUAUUUUUAAAAGCAUCAUUAAAUUUAUUUUCUUGAGUUUAAAAAAGGAUUAUAGAAUUUUGAGUGUAAUGGUUAAAUAUAUUGAGAUUUGAAGGAAUUCCUAAAGCGAAAGCAGUAAUCUGGAUUAUAACUGACGCUGA
rnacentral:rRNA from 1 species